AAUCGAUGAUGCCGUUGACUUUUUAUCACAUAUUUGACCAUUCGUUUUAUUCAAAAAAUUUUACGUAAUUAUAAUUUAUUUUGUUAUGAGUGGUUUUAUCACUCAUAGUACUUUAAGUGUGAUUUAUAUCUUAUACAUUUGCAUAAAAAUUUUGAAUAAGACGAAUGGUCAAACAUGUGAGAAAAAGUCAACGACGUUAUCUAUU
rnacentral:pre_miRNA from 1 species